AGCAGCCGCGGUAAUUCCAGCUCCAAUAGCGUAUAUUAAAGUUGUUGCAGUUAAAAAGCUCGUAGUUGAAUUUCGGGGUUAGUAGAUUGGUCAUGCCUCUGGUAUGCACUGGUCUUACUGAUUCCUCCCUCCUGAUGAACCGUAAUGCCAUUAAUUUGGUGUUGCGGGGAAACUGGACUGUUACUUUGAAAAAAUUGAGUGUUUAAAGCAGGCUAACGCUUGAAUACAUUAGCAUGGAAUAAUGAAAUAGGACGUUCGAUCUUAUUUUGUUGGUUUCUAGGAUUGACGUAAUGAUUAAUAGGGAUAGUUGGGGGCAUUAGUAUUCAAUUGUCAGAGGUGAAAUUCUUGGAUUUAUUGAAGACUAACUACUGCGAAAGCAUUUGCCAAGGAUGUUUUCAUUAAUCAAGAACGAAAGUUAGGGAUCGAAGACGAUCAGAUACCGUCGUAGUCUUAACCAUAAACUAUAGCCGACUAGGGAUCGGAUGAUGUUAAUUUUUAUGACUCAUUCGCGCCUUAAC
rnacentral:rRNA from 1 species